rnacentral:pre_miRNA from 1 species
UAAUGAUGAUGAUGAUGAUGAUGAUGAUGAUGAUGAUGAUGAUAAUUGGAAGUGACCAUGUGGACCAUCUAGUCCAACCCCCUGCCAGGCAGGAAGAGCACAAUUAAUGCACCCCUGACAGAUGGCCAUCCAGCCAUCAUCAUCAUCAUCAUCAUCAUCAUCAUCAUAG